AGAGUUUGAUCCUGGCUCAGGAUGAAUGCUGGCGGCGUGCCUAACACAUGCAAGUCGAGCGGCAGCGAGUUUUACACUGAAUUCUGGAAGCUUCUGGAUAAUAUAGAAGAUCUAUUCAAGGAUUUUGUGUAAAAUGUCGGCGAGCGGCGGACGGCUGAGUAACGCGUAGGAAUUUGCCCCAAAGUGAGGAAUAACUGCCCGAAAGGGUAGCUAAUGCCGCAUAUGGUCUUCGGAUUAAAGCCUUCGGGCGCUUUGGGAGAAGCCUGCGUUGGAUUAGGUAGUUGGUAGGGUAAUGGCCUACCAAGCCGACGAUCCAUAGCUGGUCUGAGAGGAUGAUCAGCCAGACUGGAACUGAGACACGGUCCAGACUCCUACGGGAGGCAGCAGUGAGGAAUCUUCCACAAUGGGCGAAAGCCUGAUGGAGCAACGCCGCGUGAAGGAUGAAGGCCUUCGGGUUGUAAACUUCUUUUAUGAGUGAAGAAUAUGACGGUAACUCAUGAAUAAGCACCGGCUAACUACGUGCCAGCAGCCGCGGUCAUACGUAGGGUGCAAGCAUUAUCCGGAGUGACUGGGCGUAAAGAGUUGCGUAGGCGGUUUAAUAAGUGAAUAGUGAAACCUGGUGGCUCAACCAUACAGACUAUUAUUCAAACUGUUAAACUCGAGAAUGGUAGAGGUAACUGGAAUUUCUAGUGUAGGAGUGAAAUCCGUAGAUAUUAGAAGGAACACCGAUGGCGUAGGCAGGUUACUGGGCCAUUUCUGACGCUAAGGCACGAAAGCGUGGGGAGCGAACCGGAUUAGAUACCCGGGUAGUCCACGCCGUAAACGAUGGAUACUAGCUGUUGGAGGUAUCGACCCCUUCAGUAGCGAAGCUAACGCGUUAAGUAUCCCGCCUGUGGAGUACGGCCGCAAGGCUAAAACAUAAAGGAAUUGACGGGGACCCGCACAAGCGGUGGAUUAUGUUCUUUAAUUCGAUGAUAACCGAAGAACCUUACCAGGGCUUGACAUCCAGGGAAGGUCUGCGAAAGUAGACUGUGCCUUUUGGAACCCUGUGACAGGUGAUGCAUGGCCGUCGUCAGCUCGUGUCGUGAGAUGUUAGGUUAAGUCCUUCAACGAGCGCAACCCUUGUGAAUAGUUGUAUUUUUCUAUUCAGACUGCCCCGGU
rnacentral:rRNA from 1 species